UAUAUUAAUUACGACACAUUACACUAUGUAAGGAACUUCUUACACCACAUAACCAGUUUUGUAAUCGUAUGAUCCGAUCAAUACCACCGUAAGCACUGACGUGGUGCAGGGAUUUUUGCGUGUCGGUUGUGAUUUUGGUGCGCCGAUCUACCUUCAUAAGUUUACCGCAUCGCACCAGCGGACAGUAAUAAGUUACCUUUACGUUAGUGCGAGCAAUUCAAACGAAGCGAGGUCGUCAGUACAGUAGCGAACUGAGCCGCACUGUCAAUAUGUCAAAAUAUUUAUCGGUAGCGGAACGUAAUUUAAAACUCUGUAAUUGGUCAAAGUAUCGUAAGCGGUGAUUCGUGUAGCAGCGUGCUCAAUAAACAAUCAGAAGUGAACGUUCUCGUCGUCCUAAAUUUUAAGUUCCCUUAUUGUAUACCUACCCGCCUUCAAAUCAAAAUGCCAAUAAUUGUGUUGGAACGUUUACCUUUACCAAAUUUAAAAACUUACACCUGUGCGAGCGUACUCGCGUUAUCGCUUUCUAUUUAUUAUGCGACACAUAUUGUUAAGGACCCCGAAUGGAAUAAACCAAAAAGUGAUUUGGAUGUUUCAUCCCUUAUUGAAAGUGAAGAUAUCUUAAAUAACAAUACGAAUCAUUCGUCUGCGGAUGAUCGAACUUUUUCUCAAUUUACCGGUGAUACGUUUUCGGUUAUGACCAAAGAGCCGAUUUGUGUUUGGAUUAUGAUCAAUA